rnacentral:rRNA from 1 species
AGAGUUUGAUUAUGGCUCAGGAUGAACGCUGGCGGCGUGCCUAACACAUGCAAGUCGAACGUGAAACCCGAUGCUUGCAUUGGGGAGUAAAGUGGCGAACGGGUGAGUAACACGUUGGUGACUGCCCCGAGGUGGGGGAUAACUCUGGGAAACCAGAGCUAAUACCCCGGAUGUCGAGGAGUUUAGACGCCCUUGACUAAAGUUCCGGCGCCUCGGGAGGGGCCUGCGGGCUAUCAGCUUGUUGGUGGGGUAAUGGCCUACCAAGGCUAAGACGGCUAGGGGGCGUGAGAGCGCGACCCCCCACAAUGGAACUGAGACACGGUCCAUACUCCUACGGGAGGCAGCAGUGAGGAAUAUUGCGCAAUGGGGGAAACCCUGACGCAGCAACGCCGCGUGGACGAUGAAGGCCCUCGGGUUGUAAAGUCCUUUUCUGAGGGACGAUAGUGACGGUACCUCAGGAAUAAGUCCCGGCUAACUACGUGCCAGCAGCCGCGGUAAAACGUAGGGGGCGAGCGUUAUCCGGAUUUACUGGGCGUAAAGCGCACGUAGGCGGCAUUGUAAGUUGGACGUGAAAGCUCUUGGCUUAACUGAGAGAGGUCGUUCAAUACUGCAGUGCUUGAGGUUGACAGAGGAGAGUGGAAUUCCCGGUGUAGUGGUGGAAUGCGUAGAUAUCGGGAGGAACACCAGUGGCGAAAGCGACUCUCUGGGUCAUAUCUGACGCUGAGGUGCGAAAGCGUGGGGAGCGAACGGGAUUAGAUACCCCGGUAGUCCACGCCGUAAACGAUGGAUACUAGGUGUGGGAGGUUAUUUACCCCUUCCGUGCCGGAGCAAACGCGUUAAGUAUCCCGCCUGGGGACUACGGCCGCAAGGUUAAAACUCAAAUGAAUUGACGG